GGUAGCUCAAUGGUAGAGUGCUUGCCUUGUAUGCAUGAGGCCCUGGAUUCGAUUCCUCAGUACCA
rnacentral:tRNA from 1 species